UUGGGACCACUAUAGAGAAAGCUCUUUCCUGGUUGCACACAUAAGGACAGCAGCACCCAGCAAAGAACCUUUGAAGACACUCUUGGCCAUCGGGCAAGAACAUAGCGGUUUCUCUGUUCUUUUGACAGGGUGCAAAAGGGGAAAAGGGUGCACUGGGAUUUCCAGGAAUGCCUGGCCGUCUUGUAAGUUUGUUUUGGAUUUUGACCUGUCACCCUCCCCACCACUGUUUUUGUUUUUACUGUACUCUUAUUACAUUCUGGAAAAUAACAGCAUCUUAAUUAUAUUAUCACAGGGGGAUCCUGGGAGGAAUGGAAAGGAUGGCAUACCUGGAAGCCCAGGUUUUAAGGGAGAAGCUGGACAACCAGGUUCUGCAGGACCAGAAGGAAGACGAGGUGACCCUGGAAUUCCUGGGAUCCCUGGAGUUCAAGGAAUAAAAGGAGACAAGGUACUUAUAAGGAUGUAUGAUUAG
rnacentral:lncRNA from 1 species